rnacentral:ncRNA from 2 species
ACAGUACAAACUGAGCAGGCGAUGAACUUUAAAAAAGUUCGUGGGGCUGGGCCUAAAAGGCAACAGGAUGGUUAUAUACCUGUGGGACAGUU